ACCGAAAUAGCUCAGUUGGAGAGCGUUGGACUAUAGGUGUCGAAAGAUCCCUGGUUCGAUCCCGGGAUUCGCUA
rnacentral:tRNA from 1 species